rnacentral:rRNA from 1 species
AACGAACGCUGGCGGCAUGCCUAACACAUGCAAGUCGAACGAGACCUUCGGUUCUAGUUGCGCACGGGUGCGUAACGCGUGGGAACCUGCCCUUAGGUUCGGAAUAACUCCCCGAAAGGGGUGCUAAUACCGGAUAAUGUCUUCGGACCAAAGAUUUAUCGCCUUUGGAUGGGCCCGCGUUGGUUUAGCUAGUUGGUAGGGUAAAAGCCUACCAAGGCGACGAUCCAUAGCUGGUCUGAGAGGAUGAUCAGCCACACUGGGACUGAGACACGGCCCAGACUCCUACGGGAGGCAGCAGUGGGGAAUAUUGGACAAUGGGCGAAAGCCUGAUCCAGCAAUGCCGGGUGAGUGAUGAAGGCCUUAGGGUUGUAAAGCUCUUUUACCCGGGAUGAUAAUGACAGUACCGGGAGAAUAAGCGCCGGCUAACUCCGUG